UACGUACGAGGCGAGCGUUAUCCGGAAUUACUGGGCGUAAAGCGCGCGCAGGUGGCUUGAUAAGUCGGACGUGAAAUCUCCCGGCCUAACUGGGAGGGGUCGUUCGAGACUGUUGAGCUUGAGGACUGCAGAGGUGGGUGGAAUUCCCGGUGUAGUGGUGAAAUGCGUAGAGAUCAGGAGGAACACCGGUGGCGAAGGCGGCCCACUGGGCAGUCACUGACGCUGAGGCGCGAAAGCUCGGGGAGCGAACGGG
rnacentral:rRNA from 1 species